rnacentral:rRNA from 1 species
GGCCAGACUCCUACGGGAGGCAGCAGUGGGGAAUAUUGCACAAUGGGGGGAACCCUGAUGCAGCGACGCCGCGUGGGUGAAGAAGCGCCUCGGCGCGUAAAGCCCUGUCAGCAGGGAAGAAAAUGACGGUACCUGAAGAAGAAGCCCCGGCUAACUACGUGCCAGCAGCCGCGGUAAUACGUAGGGGGCAAGCGUUAUCCGGAUUUACUGGGUGUAAAGGGGGCGCAGACGGCGAUGCAAGCCAGGAGUGAAAGCCCGGGGCCCAACCCCGGGACUGCUCUUGGAACUGCGUGGCUGGAGUGCAGGAGGGGCAGGCGGAAUUCCUGGUGUAGCGGUGAAAUGCGUAGAUAUCAGGAGGAACACCGGUGGCGAAGGCGGCCUGCUGGACUGCAACUGACGUUGAGGCCCGAAAGCGUGGGGAGCAAACAGGAUUAGAUACCCCAGUAA